rnacentral:tRNA from 1 species
GCGCAAGUAGCUCAAUGGUUAGAGCGUUGUCCUUCCAAGACAAAGGUUGGUGGUUCGAAUCCGUCCUUGCGCU